rnacentral:rRNA from 1 species
CGGGUGAGUGAUGUCUGGGAAACUGCCUGAUGGAGGGGGAUAACUACUGGAAACGGUAGCUAAUACCGCAUAACGUCGCAAGACCAAAGAGGGGGACCUUCGGGCCUCUUGCCAUCGGAUGUGCCCAGAUGGGAUUAGCUAGUAGGUGGGGUAACGGCUCACCUAGGCGACGAUCCCUAGCUGGUCUGAGAGGAUGACCAGCCACACUGGAACUGAGACACGGUCCAG